UACGUAGGGGCCGAGCGUUGUCCGGAGUUAUUGGGCGUAAAGCGCGCGCAGGCGGCCUCGCGCGCCCGACGUGAAAGCCCCCGGCUUAACCGGGGAGGGUCGUUGGGGACGGCGGGGCUUGAGGGCGGGAGAGGUCGGUGGAAUUCCCGGUGUAGUGGUGAAAUGCGUAGAGAUCGGGAGGAACACCUGUGGCGAAGGCGGCCGACUGGGCCGACCCUGACGCUGAGGCGCGGAGGCGUGGGGAGCGAACGGG
rnacentral:rRNA from 1 species